UAGUGCACAUUGCAUGAAAGGAAAAUCGAAAUGCAUAAUUUUGAUUUUCAUUAUAUGCAAUAGUCAGCAGCAUUUACGGUUGUGGUAAAACUAAUGUAAUCACCAAGCUAUUCGUGACUUUUAUUUUGACAAAAGAUUUGAACAGGAAGUUACGAGCGGAAGUGUUAUUGUAGCCAUUUCGACCGUGCCACAACGAUGCCGACAGCUCUCUUUGCCACCCCUACAACGUGCUUGUUCAAGCAGCUCCUUUUCUUUCAGGUUUUGUGCUUAGAAAGAGUGACAUGAUGCAGGAUGGAGUUGCGAGGAGUUCCCGGACACGGUCAGAGAUGGCUGGAACAGUCGGAUGGAUUUGCAAUCAUGCAAUAAAUGCCCACAUAAGACGCCAUGGUCAAAUGGUUGGAGAUCGUUGAGAGUUUGCAGCUAUUGAUGAAAGUUGUUUCCUUAAUAAAAGCAAGUAUCACCACAGAAGGGCCGGUGCAACAUGGCGACGGAAAAAGUGGGUAUUAAGAAUAUUAGGAGUAGGUGACCGCCAGAAACAUCCUGUCUUGUGGCUGGUGUGGUUAAACAAGUGCGUCCGGGAACCA